AGCAGUGGGGAAUCUUGCGCAAUGCGCGAAAGCGUGACGCAGCAACGCCGCGUGGGGGAAGACGGCCUUCGGGUUGUAAACCCCUUUCAGUUGGGACGAAGCUUCGCCGGUGAAUAGCCGGCUGGAGUGACGGUACCUUCACAAGAAGCCCCGGCUAACUACGUGCCAGCAGCCGCGGUAAUACGUAGGGGGCUAGCGUUGUCCGGAAUCAUUGGGCGUAAAGCGCGUGUAGGCGGUCCGGUAAGUCCGCUGUGAAAGUCGAGGGCUCAACCCUCGAAAGCCGGUGGAUACUGUCGGGCUAGAGUGCGGAAGAGGCGAGUGGAAUUCCUGGUGUAGCGGUGAAAUGCGCAGAUAUCAGGAGGACACCAUGCGAAGCAGCUCGCUGGGACGUUACUGACGCUGAGA
rnacentral:rRNA from 1 species